ACGUACACUCCUACGGGAGGCAGCAGUGAGGAAUAUUGGACAAUGGGUGGAAGCCUGAUCCAGCCAUCCCGCGUGCAGGAAGACGGCCCUAUGGGUUGUAAACUGCUUUUAUCUGGGGAUAAACCUACUUACGUGUAAGUAGCUGAAGGUACCAGAAGAAUAAGCACCGGCUAACUCCGUGCCAGCAGCCGCGGUAAUACGGAGGGUGCAAGCGUUAUCCGGAUUUAUUGGGUUUAAAGGGUCCGUAGGCGGACUGAUAAGUCAGUGGUGAAAUCCGACAGCUUAACUGUCGAACUGCCAUUGAUACUGUUAGUCUUGAGUAAGGUUGAAGUGGCUGGAAUAAGUAGUGUAGCGGUGAAAUGCAUAGAUAUUACUUAGAACACCAAUUGCGAAGGCAGGUCACUAAGUCUUAACUGACGCUGAUGGACGAAAGCGUGGGGAGCGAACAGGAUUAGAAACCCCUGUAGUCCCA
rnacentral:rRNA from 1 species